AGAGCGCAGGGCGAAUGCCUUGGCACUGGGAGCCGACGAAGGACGUGAUAAGCUGCGAUAAGCUGCGGGGAGGAGCAAAUAUCCAUUGAUCCGCAGAUUUCCGAAUGGAGAAAUCCGUAUGGAGAAGUCCAUACAUCAUAUACUGAAUUCAUAGGUAUAUGAGGGAAACCGCCUGAACUGAAACAUCUAAGUAGGGCGAGGAAAAGAAAUCAACCGAGAUACCGCAAGUAGUGGCGAGCGAACGCGGCAGAGGCCAAACCCGUAGUAGAAAUACUAUGGGGGUUGCGGACUGCAUUUAGCAUUGUUGAUCUUUAACCGAAGGGCAUGGGAAGGCCCACCGAAGAACGUGAGAGUCGUGUAGGUGAAAAGGAGAGACAGCGAGCAGGAUCCAGAGUACUGCGGGACACGAGGAAUCCCGUGGGAAGCCGGGGGGACCACCCUCCAAGCCUAAAUACUACCCAGUGACCGAUAGCGUAUAGUACUGUGAAGGAAAGGUGAAAAGGACCCCGGGAGGGGAGUGAAAUAGAACCUGAAACCCUGUGCUUACAAGCACCGAGAGCCCGUCAAUGGGUGAUCGGGUACUUUUUGUAGAACGGUCCGGCGAGUAUAUGGAACAAGCAAGGUUAAGGUCUUCAGGACCGAAGCCGAAGGGAAACCAAGUCUUAAUAGGGCGCACAGUUUGUUUCAUAUGACCCGAAACCGGGUGACCUAUCCAUGUCCAGGUUGAAGUGGCGGUAAAACGCCAUGGAGGACCGAACCAACCCCCGUUGAAAAGGUGGUGGAUGAGGUGUGGAUAGCGGAGAAAUUCCAAUCGAACUCGGAUAUAGCUGGUUCUCCCCGAAAUAGCUUUAGGGCUAGCGUUGUGUUAGAUUACCGGAGGUAAAGCACUGAAUAGGCUAGGGGGCGAGAGUCUACCGACCCUUAUCAAACUCUGAAUGCCGGAUAAUUGAUGCACAGCAGUCAGACAGUGUGAGAUAAGUUUCAUUGUCAAAAGGGAAACAGCCCAGACCCACAGCUAAGGUCCCAAAUGUAUGUUAAGUGGAAAAGGAUGUCCAGUUGCACAAACAACCAGGAUGUUGGCUUAGAAGCAGCCACACAUUCAAAGAGUGCGUAACAGCUCACUGGUCGAGUGACCGGGCGCCGAAAAUGUAACGGGGCUAAACAUACAACCGAAGCUUGGGCUGCACAGCAAUGUGCGGGGUAGGGGAGCGUUGUGUGCGGGGUGAAGCAUGAGCGGAAGCGCAUGUGGACUGCACAGAAGUGAGAAUGCCGGAAUGAGUAGCGCGAAUUAUGUGAGAAUCAUAAUGGCCGAAAGCCUAAGGUUUCUGGAGGAAGGUUCGUCCGCUCCAGGUUAGCCGGGAGCUAAGGUGAGGCCGAAAGGCGUAGCCGAUGCACAUACGGUGGAGAUUCCGUAGCCAUCAAAAGAUUUAAGCAGAGGGACACAGUAGAAGGGUACAUGCCGGGCGUUGGUAGCCCCGGUUGCAAGGGACCGAAAUUAGAGUAGGGAAGAUGGACUUGGAUACUGGCGAGAAAAGCUCUGUGGAUAUCUGCGAUGCCCGUACCGCAAACCGACACAGGUAGGUAGGAAGAGGAUUCUAAGGCCAACGGGAGAAGGGUUGUUAAGGAACUCGGCAAGUUGACCCCGUAACUUCGGGAGAAGGGGUGCUCUGGAAACAGAGCCGCAGAGAAUAGGUCCAGGCAACUGUUUAGCAAAAACACAGCUCUCUGCUAAAUCGAAAGAUGAUGUAUAGGGGGUGACGCCUGCCCGGUGCUGGAAGGUUAAGAGGAGGAGUGAGAGCCCCGAAUCGAAGCCCCAGUAAACGGCGGCCGUAACUAUAACGGUCCUAAGGUAGCGAAAUUCCUUGUCAGGUAAGUUCUGACCCGCACGAAAGGCGUAAUGAUCUGGACACUGUCUCAACAGCCCACCCGGCGAAAUUGUAGUACCGGUGAAGAUGCCGGUUACCCGCGACAAGACGGAAAGACCCCAUGGAGCUUUACUGCAGCCUAAUAUUGGAUUUCGGUAUUUCAUGUACAGGAUAGGUGGGAGACUGGGAAACACAGGCGUCAGCUUGUGCGGAGUCGCCCUUGGGAUACCACCCUUGAAGUGCUGGAAUUCUAACCUGUGGCCAUGAAUCUGGUCAGGGGACAUUGUUAGGCGGGCAGUUUGACUGGGGCGGUCG
rnacentral:rRNA from 1 species